rnacentral:rRNA from 1 species
UACGAAGGGGGCUAGCGUUGUUCGGAAUUACUGGGCGUAAAGGGCGCGCAGGCGGUUCCUCAAGUCAGGCGUGAAAGCCCCGGGCUCAACCUGGGAACUGCGCUGGAGACUGCGGGACUGGAGUUCGGGAGAGGAGAGCGGAAUUCCCAGUGUAGAGGUGAAAUUCGUAGAUAUUGGGAAGAACACCGGUGGCGAAGGCGGCUCUCUGGACCGACACUGACGCUGAGGCGCGAAAGCGUGGGGAGCAAACAGG